UAUAUUUGAGAGUUUGAUCCUGGCUCAGGAUGAACGCUGGCGGCGUGCCUAACACAUGCAAGUCGAGCGAUCUCUUCGGAGAGAGCGGCGGACGGGUGAGUAACGCGUGGGUAACCUGCCCUGUACACACGGAUAACAUACCGAAAGGUAUACUAAUACGGGAUAACAUACGAAAGUCGCAUGGCUUUUGUAUCAAAGCUCCGGCGGUACAGGAUGGACCCGCGUCUGAUUAGCUAGUUGGUAAGGUAAUGGCUUACCAAGGCAACGAUCAGUAGCCGACCUGAGAGGGUGAUCGGCCACACUGGAACUGAGACACGGUCCAGACUCCUACGGGAGGCAGCAGUGGGGAAUAUUGCACAAUGGGCGAAAGCCUGAUGCAGCAACGCCGCGUGAGCGAUGAAGGCCUUCGGGUCGUAAAGCUCUGUCCUCAAGGAAGAUAAUGACGGUACUUGAGGAGGAAGCCCCGGCUAACUACGUGCCAGCAGCCGCGGUAAUACGUAGGGGGCUAGCGUUAUCCGGAAUUACUGGGCGUAAAGGGUGCGUAGGUGGUUUUUUAAGUCAGAAGUGAAAGGCUACGGCUCAACCGUAGUAAGCUUUUGAAACUAGAGAACUUGAGUGCAGGAGAGGAGAGUAGAAUUCCUAGUGUAGCGGUGAAAUGCGUAGAUAUUAGGAGGAAUACCAGUAGCGAAGGCGGCUCUCUGGACUGUAACUGACACUGAGGCACGAAAGCGUGGGGAGCAAACAGGAUUAGAUACCCUGGUAGUCCACGCCGUAAACGAUGAGUACUAGGUGUCGGGGGUUACCCCCCUCGGUGCCGCAGCUAACGCAUUAAGUACUCCGCCUGGGAAGUACGCUCGCAAGAGUGAAACUCAAAGGAAUUGACGGGGACCCGCACAAGUAGCGGAGCAUGUGGUUUAAUUCGAAGCAACGCGAAGAACCUUACCUAAGCUUGACAUCCCAUUGACCUCUCCCUAAUCGGAGAUUUCCCUUCGGGGACAGUGGUGACAGGUGGUGCAUGGUUGUCGUCAGCUCGUGUCGUGAGAUGUUGGGUUAAGUCCCGCAACGAGCGCAACCCUUGCCUUUAGUUGCCAGCAUUAAGUUGGGCACUCUAGAGGGACUGCCGAGGAUAACUCGGAGGAAGGUGGGGAUGACGUCAAAUCAUCAUGCCCCUUAUGCUUAGGGCUACACACGUGCUACAAUGGGUGGUACAGAGGGUUGCCAAGCCGCGAGGUGGAGCUAAUCCCUUAAAGCCAUUCUCAGUUCGGAUUGUAGGCUGAAACUCGCCUACAUGAAGCUGGAGUUACUAGUAAUCGCAGAUCAGAAUGCUGCGGUGAAUGCGUUCCCGGGUCUUGUACACACCGCCCGUCACACCAUGGAAGUUGGGGGCGCCCGAAGCCGGUUAGCUAACCUUUUAGGAAGCGGCCGUCGAAGGUGAAACCAAUGACUGGGGUGAAGUCGUAACAAGGUAGCCGUAUCGGAAGGUGCGGCUGGGUCACCUCCUUUCU
rnacentral:rRNA from 1 species